CAAAACACGGCAGACAAGUCAGGCAUGUUUGGAAUGAGUCCACAACACUCCUGAUUGGUUAAUAUAAACAUCAUCGAAGAAACCUGCCAAUGAGAACUGUCCGUGCCUGUCGUUCACAUUUGAAACAUCCAAGUCAGUUUCAGCGGGUCUCCUCCUGCGAGCUACAGCUGUCUGUGUGUCUGCUACAGGAGUUUAUGGAUUCAUAUCGGGAUCGUUUUACAUCUACACGUUAAAUAUGAGCAUCGGGACGUCAACAAAUAACAGAAGACUUGAGAUCUGAGCACCAGUGGACAGUGAGGACUAUGGAAGAGAUGAUGUGAUUGCUUUGUGUGGAAAGCUGCUGAUGGCAGCCUGUGUCCCUCAUCAGUCUCUCCAGGCAGCACCCAGCUAUUCUUCCAUCAUGCAGAUGGAAAUACUUUGAUAUCAUCUGGACACAGCAGGAACCUAUGCCAGGAUCCUGUUUGUGGACUUCAGCUCUGCCUUCAACACAACACUCUGGCUGGAGGCUGCGCUCCAUCAGGACCAACACCUCUCUCCAUCAGGACCAACACCUCUCUCCAUCAGGACCAGAACCUCUCUCCAUCAGGACCAGAACCUCUCUCCAUCAGGACCAAAACAUCUUCAUCAGGACCAAAACCUCUCUCCAUCAGGACCAAAACCUCUCUC